rnacentral:rRNA from 1 species
GACGAACGCUGGCGGCGUGCUUAACACAUGCAAGUCGAACGGACAGGCCCUGCUUUUGUGGGGUGCUCGAGUGGCGAACGGGUGAGUAACACGUGAGUAACCUGCCCCUGACUUUGGGAUAACUUCUGGAAACUGGGGCUCAUACCGGAUAGGAGCUCCUGCUGCAUGGUGUGGGUUGGAAAGUUUCGGCGGUUGUGGAUAGACUCGCGGCUUAUCCGCUUGUUGGUGAGGUAGUGGCUUACAAAGUCUGUGACGGGUAGCCGGCCUUGGAGGGUGACCGGCGACAUUGGGACUGAGAUACGGCCCAGACGCCAACGGGAGGCAGCAGGGGGGAACAUUGCGCAGUGGGCGGAAGCCUGAUGCAGCAACGCCGCGUGCGUGAUGACGGCCUUCGAGUUGUAAACCGCUGUCGCCGGUGACGAAGCGUGAGUGACGGUAAUGGGUAAAGAAGCACCGGCUAACUACGUG